CUGGGUGCCAGGGUUGAGUUGAGCUGUUGGGGCUGGGUUGGACUCGAUGGUCUUGAAGGUCUCUUCCAACCUGGUCAUUCUGGGAAUUCUGUAAAAAGAGAAGCUUUGGGGUGACCUCGUUGUGGCCUUCCAAUGCCUAAAGGGAGACUGAAAGGAGGAGGGAGAGAGACAGUUUACAAGAGCAUGGAAUGACACGACAAGGUGGAGUGGCUUUAAACUGACAAAGAGAAGAUUUAGACUGGAUAUUGAGAAGAAAUUCUUCCCUGUGAGGGUUCUGAGGCCUUGGCACAAGGUGCCCAGAGAAGCUGUGUCUGCCCCUGGAUCCCUGGGAGUGUCCAAGGCCAGGUGGGACGGGGCUUGGAACACACUGGGAUAGUGGAAGUUGCCCCUGCUCAUGGCAGGGGUUAGAAGUGGAUGGAACUUUAAGUCCCCCUCAACUCAGGCCAUUCCAUGAUUCCAUGACUCUGUGAUUCUGUGAUUUGAUGAUCACAACUUUUAGAAAUUCUUCAGGGCAAUUCUGUCAGUACAUCAAUAAUAAGUAGACUCUGCACAGGGCUCUGCACAGGGUUCCUCCUGUCCUGAAAUACAAGGUUAAAGAUGGAAAAAUUAUCUGUAGUACCAUGCUCUUGUCUAUCUGUACUUAUUCUGCUACUAACUGUGAUGUCUGCUUUGCCUAAACACAGCAGAAUCAAGGAACCACAGAAUAUCCUGAGCUGGAAGGGACCCACAGGGAUCAGCUAGUGCAACCCCUGGCCCUGCACAGGAAAACCUGAAAAAUCCCACCCUGUGCUUGAGAGAGUUGUCCAAGUGCUUCUUGAUCUCUGUCAGCCUUGGUGCUGUGACCACCUGCCUUGGGAUAUUUUCCAGGGUGAAGAACCUUUUCCUAAUAUCCCACCUAAACCUUCCCUGACAGGGCUUAAUGCCAUGUGGAAUUUAUGGAUGAGUACAGACAGAUUUCUGACCUUCACAAUUAAUUUUCACCCUCUCCUUCCAUUUCUAAGUGAAUCUUUGUUGUCACUUCUUCACUGUUUCAUUGAUAGAUAUUUCAUCUUUCACUUCUCCUAUUCCCCACCAUGGUAUAAGGCAAGGACAUCAUAUUUUUUUUUUCGUGUUUCUUAUUUUUCCCUCUGUUUGGUCCAGAUGGAGAAUUUCAUAGCAAUCCUAAAUGACACAGGAAACAGUUCUGCCUGACUGACUCAGUCUUUGCAUAACAGGAGCUGUACUGGGGAUCUUCAUUUAGUGCAUAAUUGUGGUAAUCCAAAGGCAUUCUCAGCAAUGUGUAUUUUCUUGUGUAUGAAACACACUUGAAGCUGUUGAUUGAUGCACUUAGAAUUGCUUCAUGCACCAUCUGUAUCCAUCUGUGCACACUUGAACACUGUUUAAAAACCUCACUCGAUCACCAGUACAUUAGAGAGAAGUGGUAUUUCUGCUAAUAGAGUGUAUUAAUAAAGAUCAAAUGCUAUCUCACUUCAUUCAACCCUAUCCAACACAUUCAGUAUGAUCAGUUGAAAAUUAGAGAAGUCUCACUAAACGUGUUGAUGCUUCAAGCACCAACUCUCAUCAUUCUCACUAAAAUUACUGCACAGAACGACAGACUUGUUUUGGAAAAAAUCAAGAAGCAGCAGUUAAAAACUUAAUGAUUAAAAAACGGAAAGCAUUUUUAGAAAGACAAAUGUUUACAAGUUUUUCUCCCCUUUUUUAUAUACCUGUUUUAGUCUAACAGGUAUAUAAAUUUGACCAAAAACUUUGAAAGUCAUCUCAAAAAUUCAUACAGAAAUAUUCUUCAAACAGAACGCUUUUAACCCAGGCCUUCUCAUUUACAUAUUAAUUUGCAUAAAUCCCAGAACAUACCAGGCAUGCUUUCUUUCACUAAUUAUCAGUUCCUUGCCAGUGAACAUAGGCAUGUGGGAUUUUGAUAAGAAUAUAAUGACUUUAAAAUCAUUACAAAUACAAAAUGAUUUUAAAUAUAGCCUGCCCUAACAGAGAUCCUCAGAAACUUGCUGGCAUCUCACACAGAAUCAUAAAAUCACAGAGUCAAAAAAUCAUGGAACCAUAAAAUCACAGAGUCAUAUAAUCAUGGAAUCAUGGAUUUAUAGAGUCAUAUAAUCAUAGAGUCAUAUAAUCACAGAGUCAUUGAGUUAUAGAAUCAUAGUCAUACAGUCAUAGAAAAAUGGAAUGAUAGAGUAACAGAGUCAUAGAAUCACAGAGUCACAGAGUUACAGAAUCAUGGAAUCAUAGUGCUGAGACACCGGAACAGUUUCCUGGAGAUAUUUUGGCUGCCCUAUCCCUGGAAGCUUUCCUGGCCAAGAUGGAUGCGGCUUGGAGCAACCUGGUCUAGUAGAAACUGUCCCUGCCCAUGGCAGGGAUGGCCAUGGAUGAUUUUUAAGGUCCUUUCCAACCCAAACUAUUCCCUGAUUUUAUGAUUUUUUCCCUCCAUCACCCCUGCAUGGAUAUCUGGACACCUCUGAGCAUCUCAAAUGGACCAGAGGACUUUCUGAGAACAACAGGACAGAAUCCCUUGAGAGAAAGUCCAGUGCUUACUUCAAAACACAUCUCUCUGAGGAGCUGAGUCACUCUGAAUCCCACAGACAGCAAAAGGCACCUCUGCCCUGGCUGUGAGGGCCCAGACCUGCACAAGGGUACCCAGCCCUGAUGUCUCCCUUUCAUCCAAGGACACAAAGGAGAUGGACCCUGAAAUUGAAUCCAUGGUUCUGCUCAGACACAGAGCAACAUCCCUGACCUCUGUGUGCCUCUGUCUGUGCUUCUGUCUCUGGGUUAAUCAGGACUUUAAUAUCAUCUGUACCACACUAUUUUAAUGUAUUCAAACAAUUCCAUGGGAGUAAAGUCCAGGCAUUUCCUCAGGGGGCAGAGAGUGGGAGCUGGCUCUGGUUUUAAUUCCAGUAAUUGAGUUUAUUACCCAUAGCUGUCUUUUGAGCAUACACAGGGUAGGAAGGCAACGUGACCCUCUGGGAGAGGAAAGCUCCAGAAGUCUGAUGUCUGAGAUGAUUUUGUUCCUAAUCUGCUUCAGAAAAAAAAAAAAAAAAAAGCUCUCACCUCUGA